rnacentral:rRNA from 1 species
UUUUAAUUGAAGGCUUGUAUGAAUGGUUGGACAAAGGAUAAGCUGUCUUUAUUUUUAUUUUUGAAUUUGUUUUUUAAGUGAAAAAACUUAAAUUAUUUUAAGGGACGAUAAGACCCUAUAAAUCUUUAUAUUAGUGUUGUUUUUAUUUUGAUUUUUAAUGUAUGGUAAAAAAAACAAACGAAUAUUAUAUUGGGGUGAUAAGAAUAAAAAAUAAACUGUUCUAAAAAAAAACAAAGUUGUUUGAAAAGAUAGUAGUAGAUCCUUUUUAGAGAUUGAAAAAAUAAGUUACUUUAGGGAUAACAGCGUUAUUUUUUUUGAGAGUUCUAAUCGAAAAAAAAGUUUGCGACCUCGAUGUUGAAUUAAAAUUUCUUUGUGGGGUAGCUUUUACAUAAGAGAGUCUGUUCGACUUUUAAAAUUUUACGUGAUCU